rnacentral:rRNA from 1 species
UACGGAGGGUGCGAGCGUUGUCCGGAAUCACUGGGCGUAAAGGGCGCGUAGGUGGCGACGCAAGUCAACGGUGAAAGCUCGACGCUCAACGUCGAGUCGGCCGUCGAUACUGCAUCGCUGGAGCACUGUAGAGGCAGAUGGAAUUCCGGGUGUAGCGGUGGAAUGCGUAGAGAAUCCGGAAGAACACCGGUGGCGAGGCGGUCGCUGGGCAGUGCUGGACACUGAGGCGCGACAGCGUGG